GAUGAACGCUGGCGGCGUGCCUAAUACAUGCAAGUCGAGCGAACGGACGAGAAGCUUGCUUCUCUGAUGUUAGCGGCGGACGGGUGAGUAACACGUGGAUAACCUACCUAUAAGACUGGGAUAACUUCGGGAAAUCGGAGCUAAUACCGGAUGAUAUUUUGAACCGCAUGGUUCAAAAGUGAAAGUCGGUCUUGCUGUCACUUAUAGAUGGAUCCGCGCUGCAUUAGCUAGUUGGUAAGGUAACGGCUUACCAAGGCAACGAUGCAUAGCCGACCUGAGAGGGAGGACGGACAGCCGGGAACUGAGACACGGUCCAGACUCCUAGGGGAGGCAGCGGUAGGGAAUCUUCCGCGAUGGGCGAAAGCCUGACAGAGCAACGCCGCGUGAGUGAUGAAGGUCUUCGGAUCGGAGAGCUCUGUUAUUAGGGAAGAACAUAUGUGUAAGUAACUGUGCACAUCUUGACGGUACCUAAUCAGAAAGCCACGGCUAACUACGUG
rnacentral:rRNA from 1 species